AGGCAUUUGCUUCAGGUGAGCAGAGGGAUGACUUUCUGUCCCACAUCUGUGAAGAUCAGCUGUUGGUUUACAUUGCCAGGGUGAAAUUCAACAGAACUAAUUUAGGGUGAAGAUCUUGAGGCCCACAAGGAAUUUCCUUGUGGGAAAAUUGUGAGGAAGGAAUAGGUCCUUCUGUCACGGGGCACAGGACCCUUGACCGCAAAAUGACGUGAGUUACCACUGACUAUUUUCUGGGUCUUGAUCUUGUGACUCCAAAUGGAUGGUACAGCUUGAGCAAAGACACAGAAGCAGAAGGCAGGUUUUUGGUUCCAUGAACUCUACAUCUGGCUACAUACAAAUGGUGAAGAGGAACAGGGAGAAACAUGGUUGAAAAGAACAGGCUUGGACUUCAGGAAGCAGUAAAAUGAGCGAAUGCCAUUUAUGGUUACAAAGAUAACUCAGCUGGGGGCCAAACAGAGACUGAAAUGGAGUGGGUGAGGAUGGAGGCCGGGAGGAGAUGGCUGCAGAGGUCCCAGCAAUGACAGUGGUUGUGGGAAGGGGCAACCCCAAGUCUUGUGCUCCCAACUGCAAAUCCAGUGCUUUUUCUAAAAAAAUAUUUAAAUAAUUUAUUUAUUUUUGAGAUGGAGUCUCGCUCUGUCACCCAGGCUGGAGUGCAGUGACACA
rnacentral:lncRNA from 10 species